CAACACACAGCAGGGUCUUAAUUAGAAAUGUAGUGUAGCUGAACCAUCAGUAUGCUGGAGAUGAAAAUGACUGAGCACACUAGUUCAGUACAGAGAGAACAGAAAAUUAUUUCCCCACAAACUCUCAGAGGCAGUUUGAGUGAAAAACAUUAAUUUGUUUAUGUUUGGCAACCUUGAAAAUAUUUUGUGCCACAAAAUGCAUACAUAUAGGGACAUGAAGCAGUAAUCAAAAUUCUACUUUCAUUUCUACCCUCAGAAAUAACUGUGAAAUAUAAUUUAUUAUAAUUCUAAAAUAUAGCACUGAUUAACCAACACAGCAAUUGGGUGAAAUAUCAUUUUUUCAAAUGUCAUACAUUUCUAAGUGAAAGCACAGUCAAAAAAAAUCUUUAAAGCAAAAGACACCCCUCUCUCACACCCCCACAUACGCACAAAACCCCUCUUGAGAUUUUCUGUAUUUUCAUUUGAAAGGUGUGUGUCUGGUGUUUGCAUGUGUGGGCACAUGUGUGUAAAAAGACAGUGAAGAGAAGGUGGCCUGUGUUUAGUGUCCAGACCUGGCAGAUUGUGACCUUAUCAAUGUGAAACUCUUAAGAUAAAUUAUUCAUAGCACCUGUUUGAUGUCUCCGGCCAAAGAAUGACAAAGGUGUAAGAUUUAAGAUGCAUCUCAAAGCCAUGAAUAUCAGCUACCUGUCUCUUUUUCAGGGCAGAAAAAAAGCGAAAUAGGCUGCCCUUUCCUUAAACAAGAAAAAUGAACAAUUUGUUUCCUAACAGAGGGUGCAGAAGAGAGCAACCAGGGAACAGCCAUUGACAGUAGAGAGCGACAUGGCGGCCGGGCGUUCGGAAACUCAGUAGGACGUGUCUGUGUGGUGAGAGGACUGACGCUGGGAUGAGAUGUAAUUUAUGGCGAGUGCUGUUUGAUUAUAGGACAGUGACGGUGAUACCACUCCUUAGUAUGAGUGUUGGGAUCACUUGAUAUGACAGCCCUGCACUGACAAGCUUAUUGUACUUAACCAUGCAUGUGGUAAAUAUAACAUUAACGGCAAAUUAAUAGUCACUCCCAGAAUAGAUUUAAAGAGGCUGCACUCUGAAUUUUAUUGCUCAGUUCACAUUUUGUCUUUUCACUAAGUACAUUACUGGAGUGUUUAUCAAGUACUAUUCCAAGCUUUUCUACUCAGAAAUGAAUCCAAGCAUCCGGGAGCCCAAAUUCUUUCUCAAUGGUUUGUUUUGGAAAAAAACACAGUAUGCUUUUUGGGAAACUGGCAGCUGAUCUUCUUCAUAGCUAGAGGUCAACAUAACAUUCAGUAUUAAUAAAACAAAUAAGACUAGGAUGGAUAUUAAUGGUGAUAUAUACAGACGUACUGCGCAUGAGCUUAAAUUAUGUGUGAACGUGCUGAAGGACAGCAAAGGAGAGAUACUCUCACACAUGUUUGUGUGUUUACUUGUCUGAGUGUAUGUGUGUGUGUGCGUGUAAUAGCCAAGUCGGUUUCCCUCAGAUGUUCCUUUGACCUUUGACCCCACAGUUGGGGUCAAGCCCUGACAAAUGAGAUGGUCGAGUUCUGGCCAGAACUGCAAACAUUCCACACCAAUCUUAUGUCCUCCUCCUCCCCUCCCCUCAUAUCCGUCAUUCCUCACCCCUUCACUCCUCUCAGUAUGUCUCUUCCACGACUUGGAGAGAGUCAGAGUCAUUACAAACAAACAUGUUUUAUUGUAUUUGCUGUGGGAAUCUUACAGCACACACCCUUCAAAUUAAAGAAUUACAACAUUGGUUAAAUUAAAUGUCCCCGACAUCUGCCUUGUUCACAGACGGAAAGAAAACAAAAGAGUGUGAUCUUAGAGGAGAAGCUGUGUCAAAGAUUUGGCUAUUACAAGCCAGCACUUUGAAAGCACACUGUGUGCGUUUGGAAAGCUUGUCAGUGAUGUCAAGGAUGAGAAAUGUUGCAGUGUGGUUUUUUACACACGCUGCUGGCUCUAGCAUUUCCGGCAACAUUUCUCACUCUGCCUCCCUCACACCAUCCACUCUGCUGCAAUAUCCCCACAUUUUUCCAUCCUUUCACUUCUUCCCCUACCCUCCCUGUCCAUGUUCACCUUCUCUCUGCUCUCUGACCACUCUUGCUCCCUUUACCCUUCCUCUCUGCUGCACCACCCUGCCCAAUCUCAGCCUCUCCCUCCCUUCUCUCUCCACCCAGCACAUUCGCCCCCUCCCUCCCUUUUUCCUCCACUCACUAUUUUCUUCUGAUUUUCUAACAUGCCGUUCCACAGAAUGCUACCACCUGUGUCUUUAAGGGGAAAAGGGGGGGUAUUGGUAUUCCUCUUCGGAAAGCUGGUUAAGGUAAGUGGCACCCUCUAUUACAAUGACACGCCAAAUAAUGCUUCUGCUUGUUGUGUUACUGUAGUCACUAUUUUCAUGGAAUGACCCCGGCUUCCUAAGCAUCACCACCCUCCAUCAGAGCUCUGGCUACAAGUCACUGCUGUAAAAACACACACAGUCACCUCCGAUGAAUGUCAGCAGAGCAGCCACGGUGCCACAAAAGGAGCCUGGAGACCAACAAAGCCGGCUGAUACAGUAACACAGAGUGGAUCACACUCUUGAACUUGCUUUCAUAAUGAUGUAAUACUAUUAAAAGGCAAUGCAACACAGAAAAGAUCUUAAUAAAAACACAUCAAUCCCGA